rnacentral:ncRNA from 1 species
UAAAAGUUUUAUCCUUCCUAUUGUAUUUUCUUUAUGAUUAUUUUACAUGUAAGUUCUUGCAUUUACUAUUAUUUCUAAAAGAAAUAAUAAGUGUUAUAAGCAGUAAUACGUAUUAUUCUUGGGAUUACUCCUGAAAUAGUAAUUUAUAUAUUACCGGUUAAAUUCGUGCCAGCCACCGCGGUUAGACGAGAGUGUAAUAGAAAAUAUUAUUGGUUUAGCAGUUAUUUUUUAAUUAAUUUAUUAUAUCAUUAAUUUUUAGGUGGAAUUUAUAAUUUUUGUUUAUUUAUUUAUUUUUAAAAGAAGCUGUGAAAUUUAUAAUAAAAAUGAGGAUUAGAUACCCUUUUAUUUUAAAUGUAAACAUAAACCUGGGUAGUAAUAGUUAUGUUCUUGAAACUCUAAGGAUUUGGUGGUAUUUUAGUCUCUUUAGAGGAACCUGUCCCUUAAUCGAUAGUCCACGAUUUAAUUUACUUAUUUUUGUUUUCAGUUUGUAUACCUCCGUCAUAAGAAUAUCUUUUUAGAGUAAAUUUUCUUUUUAUUAUAAAUAUAAUAUGUCAGGUCAAGGUGCAGUUUAUGGAUAAGUGGAGGUGGGUUACAAUAAAAUUAUUUAUAUGGAUUAGAAUUUUAAAAUUAUUUUAUGAAGGUGGAUUUAAUGGUAAUUUUAAUUUUUUAUUAAUUUGACCAGAGCUCUAAAAUAUGCACACAUCGCCCAUCGCUCUCAUUAUUAAAAUGAGAUAAGUCGUAACAGUAGGUGUAUCAGAAGAUGUACCUAGUUGGAAA